AGAGCGGACGCUGGCGGCAGGCCUAACACAUGCAAGUCGAACGGACCCUUCGGGGUUAGUGGCGGACGGGUGAGUAACACGUGGGAACGUGCCUUUUGGUUCGGAAUAGCUCCUGGAAACGGGUGGUAAUGCCGAAUGUGCCCUUCGGGGGAAAGAUUUAUCGCCAUUAGAGCGGCCCGCGUCUGAUUAGCUAGUUGGUGAGGUAAUGGCCCACCAAGGCGACGAUCAGUAGCUGGUCUGAGAGGAUGACCAGCCACAUUGGGACUGAGACACGGCCCAAACUCCUACGGGAGGCAGCAGUGGGGAAUCUUGCGCAAUGGGCGAAAGCCUGACGCAGCCAUGCCGCGUGAAUGAUGAAGGUCUUAGGAUUGUAAAAUCUUUCAACCGGGGUACGAUAAUGACGGUACCCGGAGAAGAAGCCCCGGCUAACUUCGCGCCAGCAGCCGC
rnacentral:rRNA from 1 species